CCUACGGGAGGCAGCAGUGGGGAAUAUUGCACAAUGGGCGAGAGCCUGAUGCAGCAACGCCGCGUGAGCGAUGAAGGCCUUAGGGUCGUAAAGCUCUGUCCUCAAGGAAGAUAAGUACGGUACUUGUGGAGCAGGCCCCGGCUCAAUACGUGCCAGCAGCCGCGGUAAUACGUAGGGGGCUAGCGUUAUCCGGAAUUACGGGGCGAAAGGUGGUCGUAGUUGGUUUCUUAAGUCAGCGGUGAAAGGCUACGGCUCAACCGUAGUAAGCCUUUGAAACUGGGGAACUUGAGUGCAGGUGAGGAGAGCGGAAUGCGUGGUGUAGCGGUGAAAUGCGUAGAUAUUAGGAGGAACACCAGUUGCGAAGGCGGCUCUCUGGACUGUAACUGACACUGAGGCACGAAAGCGUGGGGAGCAAACAGGAUUAGAUACCCGGGUAGUC
rnacentral:rRNA from 1 species